rnacentral:lncRNA from 1 species
CCACAAUGUCUACGGUACGAUACAUGACCAUACUAUACUUUACGUAGUCUACAAAGCCUCUAGACAAAAAACAUUAUCUUACAAGGGUCGGGACAGGCCCCGCCUCAUGAUAAGAUACUAUACAAUACAAAAAGAUAUGAUAAGACUCAAAGCCCCGAAGCAACCUGGAGCUCAGUGACUGCAGUUGAUAUCCUGUACUCUUACUGGGGAGGUUUAUUAGCUUCUGUACCUGCAGCAUGGAAUGCAGGUCCCCCAAGAGGGACGUCAGUACGAAAUAAUGUACUGAAUAUGUAAGGCAACAUGUACUAUAUAUGAGAUAAAAACUCAAAUGAAACCAUGUACUGCUGUAGGGUAAAAGACCACCUUUAUGAAUAUUGUGGAGUCAUGUAUCUUAUAACAAUUAUGUUACUUUACUCUUAUUGCUUGUAUAAUCUGUGCACAGCAUGUAAUACAGAUGACCAGCUGAUCAGUGGUAAAUCUAUAUCAGGAUCGACCCAUGCUAGGCUUUCCUUUCACCCCUGGGAUACCCCCUGGAAUGCUGGGAUUGACCCAUGCUAGG